rnacentral:rRNA from 1 species
AACGAACGCUGGCGGCAUGCCUAACACAUGCAAGUCGAACGAGACCUUCGGGUCUAGUGGCGCACGGGUGAGUAACGCGUGGGAACCUACCCUUAGCUUCGGGAUAACUCCCCGAAAGGGGUGCUAAUACCGGAUAAUGUCUUCGGACCAAAGAUUUAUCGCGGUUGGAUGGGCCCGCGUUGGAUUAGCUAGUUGGUAGGGUAAAAGCCUACCAAGGCGACGAUCCAUAGCUGGUCUGAGAGGAUGAUCAGCCACACUGGGACUGAGACACGGCCCAGACUCCUACGGGAGGCAGCAGUGGGGAAUAUUGGACAAUGGGCGAAAGCCUGAUCCAGCCAUGCCGCGUGAGUGAUGAAGGCCUUAGGGUUGUAAAGCUCUUUUACCCGGGAUGAUAAUGACAGUACCGGGAGAAUAAGCCCCGGCUAACUCCGUG